rnacentral:lncRNA from 1 species
GGCAUCCAGCAUCCAGUUCCCAGUGAGUCUGGAAGUCAACAGGAACCCAAGAGCUGAGUUUAGAGUCCCUUUUGGCAAGAAAAGCACCACCUGGUGAACCACUUUGAAAAGCUGAAAGAAGUAAACUGGUUUGCAAACACGUAGCAAAGCCCUUUGUUCUCACAAAGAAUAAGGUGGAGAUACUUCCCUGCAGUGACACCAAUCAGAGAGGGGCUGAGGAUGGCAUGAGGAGCAGGCUAAAAGGAAGGGAUGGUGUUCAUGGUACAAUGCCCAGCUCCAUGUGCUUCCUGUGCUGUUCCUAGCCAGGUUCUCAGCUCCUAAGUUGAAGUCUGCUGAAGCGUCCUUAGUCUUUGCUGCAUAGGCCGCUAAAGCCGUCUACCUUUCAGUGGAUCCAAAAGCACGUGUUUUGGAUUGUAAGCAAGAAACAAAGAAUGAAGGAAAGCCAGGAAGUCAUCAAUCUAGGAAAAAAGUUAGAGUUUUAACUAUGGCUCCUCCCAACAACUGAUUAAAGGCUAAGACAGCAGCUUGGCUGGAAAGACUGCUUCCCUCCUGACUCCCAAGAGGAAUUCUAUUGGGAAGGGGAGAGAGCCCAAGCAAAAACAGAAGGAACGGAAUCUGACUGAUGAGCGUGGAAAAUGAAGGAACAAUUCAAGAUUUCACACACACCAACCCAUCACUUUCAACUGUUUCAUUUUUUGUAGUUGUUUCAGGCUCUGUUUAAGACUUUUGCUCCUUCUGUGGAGCACUGAGAAACUGGGAAGAGAAAGGGGAACUAACUACUCCAUCUAUCAGGAGGCUUCCCUCUGGCCCAAAGCUGUGUACACUCCCACCGGGGAUCUUCAGGGGAAGCACAUUUUGUGCUGCAGAACAUGUGCUAGUUUACAUCCUGUUUUCAUUUCUGCAGAAAAUUCACUUCCUAAACAGUAAUGGUGAGAGUUUCUGUAAUCU